AUGAACGCUGGCGGCGUGCCUAAUACAUGCAAGUCGAGCGAACAGACGAGGAGCUUGCUCCUCUGACGUUAGCGGCGGACGGGUGAGUAACACGUGGAUAACCUACCUAUAAGACUGGGAUAACUUCGGGAAACCGGAGCUAAUACCGGAUAAUAUAUUGAACCGCAUGGUUCAAUAGUGAAAGACGGUUUUGCUGUCAAUUAUAGAUGGAUCCGCGCCGCAUUAGAUAGUUGGUAAGGUAACGGCUUACCAAGGCAACGAUGCGUAGCCGACCUGAGAGGGUGAUCGGCCACACUGGAACUGAGACACGGUCCAGACUCCUACGGGAGGCAGCAGUAGGGAAUCUUCCGCAAUGGGCGAAAGCCUGACGGAGCAACGCCGCGUGAGUGAUGAAGGUCUUCGGAUCGUAAAACUCUGUUAUUAGGGAAGAACAAAUGUGUAAGUAACUAUGCACGUCUUGACGGUACCUAAUCAGAAAGCCACGGCUAACUACGUG
rnacentral:rRNA from 1 species